rnacentral:snRNA from 1 species
UGCGACCUUGCUCCAUACUUACCUGGACGGGGUCGACGGGCGAUCAUGAAGGCCAGUGGCCUAGGUUAGGGGCCCACAUUGUACUUGGUGGGUGCGCUGGCCUAUCAUCUCCUCAAGUGGGAGAGUGAAUGUCAUAAUUUGUGGCAGAGGGGGUACGCGUUCGCGCGGCCCCUGCCAGUUCUUUGA